rnacentral:lncRNA from 1 species
CCCCGGCAGUAGCUCUCGCCGCAUCCCGGGGUCGAGGAAGAUGACCGCCGCCGCGCUUUCCCCCGCCGGUGCGGGCCCGGGUUCCCGGGGGACGGGCCGCCCCUCCCCCGGCGCGACUGCUCUCCCCGAAACCGGGGCGGACUGUCCUCAGUGCGCCCCGACCGCGUCGCGCCGCCGGGCUCGGGGACCGCUGCUCUCGUCGCACGAGGCGCCCGGGGUCAGCGGCGAUGUCGGCCCCCCACCCGACCCGUCUUGAAACACGGACCAAGGAGUCUAACACGCGCGCGAGUCAGGGGCUCGCACGAAAGCCACCCGUGGCGCAAUGAAGGUGAAGGCCGGCGCCCGCCGGCCGAGGUGGGAUCCCGAGGCCUCGGUCCUUCUUCCCGUCCUGCCGAGGGCGCACCACCGGCCCGUCUCGCCCGCCCCGCCGGGGAGGUGGAGCAUGAGCGUGUGUGUUAGGACCCGAAAGAUGGUGAACUAUGCCUGGGCAGCGAAUGAUUAGAGGUCUUGGGGCCGAAACGAUCUCAACCUAUUCUCAAACUUUAAAUGGGUAAGAAGCCCGGCUCGCUGGCUUGGAGCCG